GGCUGAGUAGAGAUAGUGGAGGUUGAGUAGAGAUAGUGGAGGCUGCCGGUGUGGGGGCACCAGACCACCUUUCACCGGUACAUGUAUGGUCAUCCCGCUGCUUCACCAGUAUGGAGGCAGACAUCCUGUUACCAGACGCUCCUAAAAUGGCACUGCUGGACAAGAUGAGUCGAAUCAAUAUUGAUGAGCCUCGGUGGGAUCAGAGCACCUAUGAGGGCCGAGCCCAGCACUUCUUCACCAUCACUAAUCCACUCAAUUUGCUGUGUUCUUCUGAACAACUGGAGAGGGCAAAGGACAUAGUCACAAGAUACAGAAAGGGUGAAGAUGUGAGCUUGACAGAUGAUGAAAUAUGGAAAGCAAAGAAUGUAUAUGAUUCAGCAUUUCAUCCAGACACUGGUGAAAAGAUGAUGCUUGUUGGUCGUAUGUCUGCCCAGGUGCCUAUGAAUAUGACCAUAACAGGCUGCAUGCUCACCUUCUACAAGACGACUCCAGCAGUGGUCUUUUGGCAGUGGAUCAAUCAGUCUUUCAACGCCCUUGUGAACUACACAAACCGCUCUGGAGACUCUCCCAUCAGUGUGCAACAGCUAGGAACCUCAUAUGUGCUUGCUACAGGAGGUGCACUGGCCACAGCUUUAGGCCUCAACAGUCUGGUCAAGUCCAUGCCGCCCCUGAUUGGCCGCCUGGUACCCUUCACUGCUGUGGCCGCUGCAAAUUGUGUCAACAUUCCCAUGAUGAGGAUGAAGGAGCUGCAAGAUGGAGUCACACUCUUGGAUAAGAAUGGAAACAAAGUGGGAGAAAGCAAGACAGCUGCUAAGUGGGGCAUUGCAGCUGUGUGUGUGUCUCGUAUCUUGAUGGCAUCUCCUGGCAUGGAGAGUGGCGUGAAACGGGGGUGAUGCUUCUGGACCAGGAAAACAACACAGUGGGAUACAGUAAGAAAGCAGCCCGCAGAGGAGUCACCAUGGUGGCCCUCUCUCGGAUUCUCAUGGCUGUCCCUAGCUGUGUGUUGCCACCUAUUGUGAUGAAUAUUCUUGAGAAGCGAGGCACAUUGCGCAGAAUGCCUUGGAUUUCUGCUCCUCUACAAGUGGCACUGUGUGGUGUCUGCCUCACAUUUGCCACUCCAGCCUGCUGUGCCCUUUUCCCACAGAAGGCAUCCAUUGCUGUGUCCAGUCUGGAACCUGAAGUGCAGGAGAAGAUUCGGCAGCUGCCUGAUGCCCCAGAUGUUGUGUAUUACAAUAAGGGGCUGUAGAACUAUAUUGGUUAUGAUGUGAGAAGUUUAGUUCAUCCCUCUGGAAAUAAUAUAUAUAUUGCAGGGCAUUUUAAUGUAGAUAAUCUUAUACAUAUGUUGAUAUUUUUUUUCUGUAUCAUAGAUCUUUUAAAUCUUCAUCAUAUCCCUGUGAUUUAAUUGCUAACAAAACUUAAGAAACACAGUGCCAUCACUAUUUAUAUAUCAAGAAAGUGUCAUCUUUAUUAAUCACUUUGUGUAUACUUGCUGUUAUGCAGUAUCCAAGAUGUUUCUAAAACAGAAAGAUAUCACAUGCUAUGUACCAAAAAUUCUUAUGACUUAGAAAUUCAUUGCUGUUCUUAAAUACAUACAUGGUAUAAUUGCAUUU